GCCCCGGUAGUAUAGCCCGGUCAAGUAUGUGGGCCUUUCGAGCCCGUGACCCGGGUUCAAAUCCCGGCCGGGGCA
rnacentral:tRNA from 1 species